rnacentral:rRNA from 1 species
CCUACGGGAGGCAGCAGUGGGGAAUAUUGCACAAUGGGCGAAAGCCUGAUGCAGCGACGCCGCGUGAGUGAAGAAGUACCUCGGUAUUGUAAGCUUCAUUUGUAGGGAAGUAAAAGACGGUACGUGUCUAAGUUUCUAUGUCUAACUACGUUCCAGCAGCCGCGGUUAUACGUAGGCGGCCAGCGUUAUACGGAUUUACCGGGUGUAAAGGGAGCGUAGUCGGUAGCGGAAGUCAGGAGUGAAAUCUCAGGGCUUAACCAUGGAACUGCCUUGGAAACUGUGCAGUUAGAGUGCAGGAGAGGUAAGCGGAAUUCGUGGUGUAGCGGUGAAAUGCGUAGAUAUUAGGAAGAACACCAGUGGCGAAGGCGGCUUACUGGACUGUAACUGACGUUGAGGCUCGAAAGCGUGGGUAGCAAACAGGAUUAGAUACCCUUGUAGUC